rnacentral:rRNA from 1 species
UCAACCCUCGGNAAAUUGCCAUUUUGAAANCUGGGCAAANCUANGAGUACCUGUAGAGGGGGGGGUAGAAAUUUCAAGGUGUAGCGGUGAAAAUGCGUAGAGAUCUGAAGGAAUUACCGGGUGGCGAAAGGCGGCCCCCCUGGGACAGAUACUGACACUCAGAUGCGAAAGCGUGGGGGAGCAAACAGGAUUAGAUACCCUGGUAGUCCACGCCGUAAACGAUGUCUACUUGGAGGUUGUGGCCUUGAGCCGUGGCUUUCGGAGCUAACGCGUUAAGUAGACCNCCUGGGGAGUACGGUCGCAAGAUUAAAACUCAAAUGAAUUGACGGGGGCCCGCACAAGCGGUGGAGCAUGUGGUUUAAUUCGAUGCAACGCGAAGAACCUUACCUACUCUUGACAUCUACAGAAGCCAGCGGAGACGCAGGUGUGCCUUCGGGAACUGUAAGACAGGUGCUGCAUGGCUGUCGUCAGCUCGUGUUGUGAAAUGUUGGGUUAAGUCCCGCAACGAGCGCAACCCUUAUCCUUGUUUGCCAGCACUUCGGGUGGGAACUCCAGGGAGACUGCCGGUGAUAAACCGGAGGAAGGUGGGGACGACGUCAAGUCAUCAUGGCCCUUACGAGUAGGGCUACACACGUGCUACAAUGGCGCAUACAGAGGGCGGCCAACUUGCGAAAGUGAGCGAAUCCCAAAAAGUGCGUCGUAGUCCGGAUUGGAGUCUGCAACUCGACUCCAUGAAGUCGGAAUCGCUAGUAAUCGUGGAUCAGAAUGCCACGGUGAAUACGUUCCCGGGCCUUGUACACACCGCCCGUCACACCAUGGGAGUGGGCUGCAAAAGAAGUGGGUAGUUUAACCUUCGGGAGGACGCUCACCACUUUGUGGUUCAUGACUGGGGUGAAGUCGUAACAAGGUAACCG